rnacentral:sRNA from 1 species
ACCUAGCCCUGAUGGAAACGGCAUCCUUUUUCUUGAAAUUCUGACGAAGGAAGAAUAACAAGAAAAAGAUAUAGUGGACAGCGGGAAAUAGC